GAUAAACGCUGGCGGCGCACAUAAGACAUGCAAGUCGAACGGAAGUCGUUAUAAUGAUUUCGAAGCGGACGGAGAACUUGUUCGAUGAAAGUUGACAUUGAUUUAUAACAAUGGCUUUAGUGGCGGACUGGUGAGUAACGCGUGAGCAACCUGCCUGUUAGAGGGGAAUAACAGUGAGAAAUCAUUGCUAAUACCGCAUAUGCCAUAAUUAUCACAUGAUAAUAGUGGGAAAGGAGUAAUCCGCUAACAGAUGGGCUCGCGUCUGAUUAGAUAGUUGGUGAGGUAACGGCUCACCAAGUCGACGAUCAGUAGCCGGACUGAGAGGUUGAACGGCCACAUUGGGACUGAGAUACGGCCCAGACUCCUACGGAGGCAGCAGUGGGGAAUAUUGGGCGAAUGGGGAAACCCUGACCAGCAACGCCGCGUGAAGGAAGAA
rnacentral:rRNA from 1 species